rnacentral:rRNA from 1 species
UACGUAGGUCCCAAGCGUUGUCCGGAUUUAUUGGGCGUAAAGCGAGCGCAGGUGGUUUAUUAAGUCUGGUGUAAAGGGCAGUGGCUCAACCAUUGUAUGCAUUGGAAACUGGUAGACUUGAGUGCAGGAGAGGAGAGUGGAAUUCCAUGUGUAGCGGUGAAAUGCGUAGAUAUAUGGAAGAACACCAGUGGCGAAAGCGGCUCUCUGGUCUGUAACUGACGCUGAGGUUCGAAAGCGUGGGUAGCAAACAGG